CGAUCCGCCACACUGGAACUGAGACACGGUCCAGACACCUACGGGUGGCAGCAGUCGAGAAUCAUUCACAAUGGGGGAAACCCUGAUGGUGCGACGCCGCGUGGGGGAAUGAAGGUCUUCGGAUUGUAAACCCCUGUCAUGUGGGAGCAAAUUAAAAAGAUAGUACCACAAGAGGAAGAGACGGCUAACUCUGUGCCAGCAGCCGCGGUAAUACAGAGGUCUCAAGCGUUGUUCGGAAUCACUGGGCGUAAAGCGUGCGUAGGCUGUUUCGUAAGUCGUGUGUGAAAGGCGCGGGCUCAACCCGCGGACGGCACAUGAUACUGCGAGACUAGAGUAAUGGAGGGGGAACCGGAAUUCUCGGUGUAGCAGUGAAAUGCGUAGAUAUCGAGAGGAACACUCGUGGCGAAGGCGGGUUCCUGGACAUUAACUGACGCUGAGGCACGAAGGCCAGGGGAGCGAAAGGGAUUAGAUACCCCUGUAGUCCUGGCAGUAAACGGUGCACGCUUGGUGUGCGGGGAAUCGACCCCCUGCGUGCCGGAGCUAACGCGUUAAGCGUGCCGCCUGGGGAGUACGGUCGCAAGAUUAAAACUCAAAGAAAUUGACGGGGACCCGCACAAGCGGUGGAGUAUGUGGCUUAAUUCGAUGCAACGCGAAGAACCUUACCUGGGCUUGACAUGUAAUGAACAACAUGUGAAAGCAUGCGACUCUUCGGAGGCGUUACACAGGUGCUGCAUGGCCGUCGUCAGCUCGUGUCGUGAGAUGUUUGGUUAAGUCCAGCAACGAGCGCAACCCCUGUUGCCAGUUACCAGCACGUGAAGGUGGGGACUCUGGCGAGACUGCCCAGAUCAACUGGGAGGAAGGUGGGGACGACGUCAGGUCAGUAUGGCCCUUAUGCCCAGGGCUGCACACGUACUACAAUGCCCAGUACAGAGGGGGCCGAAGCCGCGAGGCGGAGGAAAUCCUAAAAACUGGGCCCAGUUCGGACUGUAGGCUGCAACCCGCCUACACGAAGCCGGAAUCGCUAGUAAUGGCGCAUCAGCUACGGCGCCGUGAAUACGUUCCCGGGUCUUGUACACACCGCCCGUCACAUCAUGGAAGCCGGUCGCACCCGAAGUAUCUGAAGCCAACCGCAAGGAGGCAGGGUCCUAAGGUGAGACUGGUAACUGGGAUGAAGUCGUAACAAGGUAGCCGUAGGGGAACCUGCGGCUG
rnacentral:rRNA from 1 species